CAGAGACCCCCCUGCACUCUUAAAAUUAUCUUGUCCUCCAAGAUCUCCAAGAGAAGGAUUUAUUGCAUCCUUAUCGGAGGGUGGAAAACCCCGUGGUGCCAAGAAGAUUGAUCUAUUGGGAAGGGGGCAAGACCACUGGAGGAUCCUGAGCGGGAAAAAGCGCGCACCCUGCUGAGUUCAGCAGACCCCGCUCCGUUUCCCCUGGCGUGAGUCAGCGGCUGCAGCAAGUCUUAGGCAUAGGUCAAGAAGAAUUUUGGACAUUAGAGCAAUGUCCUGUCUGUGCAAAGCCAGAUAACCUCCAGGAAACAGAUGAUGGGGCCCAGGCUGCUAUCAACACUGAC